AGUUAAUGAACUUGCUAUAAGUUUAUAUUUUGAAAAUAUAAUAAAGAAACGUAAAUUUUCUAUUAACUU
rnacentral:tRNA from 1 species